rnacentral:rRNA from 1 species
UCAAGUUACAAAGGGCGCAGGGCGGAUGCCUUGGCACCAGGAGCCGAAGAAGGACGUGAUAAGCUGCGAAAAGCUGCGGGGAGGAGCAAAUAUCCAUUGAUCCGCAGGUAUCCGAAUGGGGAAACCCGGCAGAAAGAACUUCUGUCACCGUAUGAUGAAUCCAUAGUCAUACGGAGGGAACCCGGCGAACUGAAACAUCUAAGUAGCCGGAGGAAGAGGAAGAAACAUCGAAUCCCUAAGUAGUGGCGAGCGAAAGGGGACGAAGCCCAAACCAAGGAUUUAUCCUUGGGGUAGAGGACCACAUACGAAGAAGCAGUAGGUAGCAGAACGGUUUUGGGAAAGCCGGCCAAAGAGAGUGAAAGCCUCGUAUGCGAAACAGACUGUGAUUCAGUGGUAUCCGGAGUACUACGGGACACGAGAAACCCCGUAGGAAGCAGGGGGGACCACCCCCCAAGGCGAAAUACUACCUGGUGACCGAUAGAGUAUAGUACCGUGAGGGAAAGGUGAAAAGAACCCCGGGAGGGGAGUGAAAGAGAACCUGAAACCCUGUGUCUACAAGCUGCGGAAGAGCGACUAACGCUCGACCGUGUACUUUUUGUAGAACGGUCCGGCGAGUUGCCGUUGCUGGCAGGUUAAGUACUUAAGGUACGGAGCCGAAGGGAAACCAAGUCUUAACAGGGCGGUAAGUCAGUAACGGCAGACCCGAAACCGGGUGACCUACCCAUGGCCAGGAUGAAGUCUGCGUAAAAGUGGAUGGAGGUCCGAACACACGUCUGUUGAAAAAGGCGGUGAUGAGCUGUGGGUAGCGGAGAAAUUCCAAUCGAACUCGGAGAUAGCUGGUUCUCCCCGAAAUAGCUUUAGGGCUAGCCUCGGUAUAGUCUAAUGGAGGUAGAGCACUGAAUCGCUGCGGGGGCGUCAAAGUCUACCAAUGCGUAUCAAACUCCGAAUGCCAUAUAGAUGUUUACCGGGAGUCAGACUGUAUGAGAUAAGUCGGACAGUCAAAAGGGAAACAGCCCAGACCAUCUGCUAAGGUCCCAAAGUGUAUGUUAAGUGGUAAAGGAUGUGGGGUUUCGAAGACAACUAGGAUGUUGGCUCAGAAGCAGCCAUUCAUUCAAAGAGUGCGUAAUAGCUCACUAGUCGAGAGGUCCUGCGCCGAAAAUGUCCGGGGCUGAAACAUAACACCGAAGCAAUGGAAUAUACCGCAAGGUAUGUUGGUAGGGGAGCAUUGAUAACACGAAGAAGCGGUACCGUAAGGAGCCGUGGAGAGUUAUCAAGAGAGAAUGCCGGAAUGAGUAGCGAGAUGAAGGUGAGAAUCCUUCAGGCCGUAUAUCCAAGGUUUCCAGGGUAAAGCUGAUCUUCCCUGGGGAAGUCGGGACCUAAGCUCAGGCUGAGAAGCGUAGGCGAUGGACAACUGGUUGAUAUUCCAGUACCUCUGGCUGUCAGAAAUGUGGGGACACGGAAAUUCAGGAAGUGCCUGUAAAGGAUUCAGGUGCAAGCAUGGUUUAUGCCGGGCAGGCAAAUCCGCCCGGGUAAGUGAGCUGUGUGAUGCGGACCGAAAUAUAAGUAGGGAAGCUUCUGGGAGAGCCGUCGAGAAAAGCCGCUAUUGUGCAGCCAGAGCCCGUACCGUAAACCGACACAGGUGGAUGGGGAGAGUAUCCCAAGGCCGGCGGGAGAAGCAUUGUUAAGGAACUCGGCAAAAUGGCCCCGUAAGUUCGCGAUAAGGGGUGCCUGUAGAGAUACAGGCCGCAGAGAAUAGGCUCAAGCAACUGUUUAGCAAAAACACAGGUCUAUGCGAAACCGUAAGGUGAUGUAUAUGGGCUGACGCCUGCCCGGUGCUGGAAGGUUACGGGGAGUGCUUAGGAGCAAUCCGAAGGUACGAACUUAAGCCCCAGUAAACGGCGGCCGUAACUAUAACGGUCCUAAGGUAGCGAAAUUCCUUGUCGGGU